UGCUAACAGUUAGCGGCAGUCACUGUAAUUCUCAACCCAUUUCCACAUCAGAUUUUGUCAGAAUCGAAACACACUCUCCUGAAAGAAGGGAGGAUGUUUGCAAGACUCAAGAAGCUAAGGAACUACACAGAAAAACCCUGUCUCGAAAAAAACAACAAAACAAAACAAAACAAAAACAACAACAACAACAAAAAGAAGAUAAGCAAAUGUCUCUCAGGCUUAGAAAAUCGUCUCAAAACUUACAAGACCCAUGACGCUCAGAAAGUCAUGAGAUUCAUAAGGCUCUUCCCAAAAUUAUAAACACACUAAGUGCUGGAGAAGAAUCGCUUCUUCAGGGGAGCUGUCAAGUUGUGUGUGGAGCUUGGAUACACAGCUUUCACAAGCUGUCACCUCUUCUAGACUGGCUUUCUGGUAAUACAGUUACCAGAAAUGACCCCAUAAAUAACCCCCCUCAUCCAUGUUCCGAUUGAACUGAAAAUGAGCUAGCAAGAUAAAGCAACUUUCCAACAUUUUCCCAAAUGAGAAGAAUCUAUUUCAUCCUAUUUGAUGAGGGAUAUCAGUCAAGAGAAAGGACCAGGAACUGGAAAAAAAAAUGUACAUUUCUAGGAAAACUGAUAGGUAUUCUCAACACCCUUGAGGAAAACAAUAAUGAUGUUUUUUUGUUUUUAUUUAUUUAUUUUUUGUUUUUGUUUUUUAAUUCUCUGUGUGUUAAGGAGAGACCACAAUUGUGGCGUUCUCAAGAUCAAACAACAACAAGUUACCUCAAAGCAUGGGCUGGAACUCAGUCUGCCACCUCCCGUUGUUUUUCAGUUCCCCUGCUGCUUGCUCCAUUGAUAGAUGCUGGCACAUCUUGCCUUCAGCUGAGUCUCUGCUUCUGGAAACUGCAGCAGGAAGCACUCGGUCAAUUGCACCAGGUCUUCUUGUGAUCGAUUGAGGCUCUGGGCUCCAAGCUACACCAUUCUUCUGUCAAAACGCAUGAAAUAAGCACCUGAGAAAAGAAAUGCCAGCUCUGCCUUCUUUAGCAGUAAGGAUGUUUGUGAAACGGUCUGAAAUCAGCAAGUCCUCAUGGGAAGGGGAAGGGACGCAGACGUUCCCUUUCAAAGCAAUGUCAGGCCGUUUCCUGGAAUCGAGAGUAAACACUUUGAGGUCUGUCUGGACUUCACUGGGCAGCACACUUUUAACUUCCUCCAUCAACCUACCAGGCUGUUUCUCUUUCUUGACAGUUCUCUGGGGAUUCUCUGCUCUGCCUUCGCUUCCUCUCCUCUAUGUCAUUUUGCUUCUUCUGCCCUCCCUCUGCCCCGCCAUUUGUCAAGGAAAGAACCAUCCCAAACCUUAAAGGAACAAAAGAGAUGCCUUAUUCUGGAGCUAAAUUUCAGUGUCCAUGACCCAGGGAUAAAGAUUCAGGAUUUUCCAAAAUACCAAGUUCCAAUGAUGUAACAGUUUCAUGAACUUUUUUAGAACCAAGCGAGUCAAUGAGUAACGCACCUUUCAGGUACAUUGGUGGGUACCUCGGGUUAGAGCAAAAUGGAGAGAAAUCUCUACCCUUUUGCUGCCAACACUGCUUGAAAAUUCUUAACCCUUUGGUUAGUGAAACUGCGCAUUCCAGAAGAUUUACCUAAUAGUCAGAAAUAUAUUAGAUUGCAUACAGAGGGGCAGCAACAAAUAGCUAUUAAAGGGGAGUAAAGAUUUCUCAAGGUAAGUUGGCAUUGUGCUGUCAACACUGCAAUUGCUCCACAUCAUUGAAGUUCUAAUAGUCAAUCAGCCAUCAUAACCCCAGCUUCUAUCCAGAGAUUCCCUUCCUUCCUCCUUUCCUCCCUCCCUUCCCUUAUUCCUUCCUUUCUUUCCUUCUUUUCUUCCUUCCAUUUCUCCUCCCCAUGGUAACCAUGACCUUAGCUCUUCUUUCCUUCCACUUUUCUUCCCAUUUUGUCUCUCCUCUUCAAAUCACUUUCUUUCUCCUUUCUCUUAGAACUGCACAGGAUCCUAUUCUCCACCUUUGUGCCUGCUGGUGGAGAUAGCAUUUUUUUUUCUCACCCUGAAAUUAAAGAACUUUGAUAUCAA